rnacentral:rRNA from 1 species
GACGAACGCUGGCGGCGUGCCUAAUACAUGCAAGUAGAACGCAGUUGCGAACGGGUGAGUAACGCGUAGGUAACUGACUCCUAGCGGGGGUUAAAUACUGGCAACGAUAGCUAUUACCACACACUGUGAGAUGGACCUGCGUUGUAUUAGCUAGUUGGUGGGGUUAAGGCUCACCAAGGCGACGAUCCAAAGCCGACCUGAGAGGGGUAUCGGCCACACUGGGACUGAGACGCGGCCCAGACGCCUACGGGAGGGAGCAGUGGGGAAUCUUCGGCAAUGGACGGAAGUCUGACCGAGCAACGCCGCGUGAGUGAAGAAGGUUUUCGGAUCGUAAAGCUCUGUUGUUAGAGACGCGGUAACUAACCAGAAAGGGACGGCUAACUACGUGCCAGCAGCCGCGGUAAUUC